rnacentral:tRNA from 1 species
GCAUUCGUUUUUACAACGGUCAGAAAUCAAAUCAUUGAUAAUAAAAGAAUUUUCUUCGGACUACGAAUCUGGGGGGCGGGCGUUCGAAUCGCUCCGGGUGCGCCA